UCAGAAUAUCUUUAACUAUGUAACGUAACUAAUGUACACCUCAUGACCAUGUUUGCAAACAGCAGCAGCUUAAGUGUUGCAAUUGUACGCUUAAUUUACAUCUGGGUUUAUAUAAAAAUAAUUGUGAUAAUGUAUAAUGGCUUUUCUAUAUCCUGAGGCAUCUUAGUCCUCUUGAAUUAAAAAGUCAUUCUCUGAGAAGACCCAUUGAAUUUGAGGGAUCUCAGUUAAUCAUGACUUAUGUCCAUUGAAUUCAGUUGGUCUAUUCAAUAGUAUGAUGCAGCUCAUUGUUGUCUUCUGCUGAUAUGACUGUGAAGCUGCACAACUACCCUUUAGCAUAGACAGUCCCACUGAAUAUAUUUGAAGAAGAAUAGCUGUCCCAUUAAUAGAUCUUUUGGAAAUGCCCUUGUUCAAAAUUCAACAAACUGCAAGCACUCAUGUUUCAGUUAUGAUCAUUUAGAGGGAUCUUUAAGAUGUCAAGAUAAUUCCUUUAAAAAAAAAUAAUUGAGAGGGAUUUGAGUGCCUACCAAUCAAAAUAUCUCAAGCUGAGUCUAUAUGUGCCUUGCCAGCAUCUACUUGUGUUUUCUGGGAUUUGUGACCUCAUUUGUGACAUAUCUUCUGUGUCAUAUAGAAUAAAAGCUCACAAAACUCUACGAAGCCCUUAAUACUUUUAUCCAUGGUGUUGAAUUCACAAUCAGGAAAGCAAAAGGGGGGCCUUUCCCCACAAAAGUAUAUUCAUGGGAAUAUGGUGCAGCUUCUAAUCAAUUUUUAUGUAAGAUUGGCACAGGGUGAAAUCUUUAGUGAACUUGAAAAUGGAAGAGAGAUAUUCAUCACUUAAGUGUUCAUUUGCAAGUCCAGUUCUUAGAAUACAGUCAUAACUGUUCUGCAUGUAUGCUCCUAAUGUCUGAGCCAACUGCUUAUUUCUACCAGUAGCUCUUCUCUGUGAUGCUUUCUUCAGAAUGCUUUCUCUUCUGCCCCAACUGUCAUCGCCAACUGCUUCAGAAUACACUUGAGUCCAGAGUUCUGCCCUUUCCUGCCUGCCUCCCUCCAACCUGUGAGAUAGCCACCUCCCUAAAGGUUCCUUUCGAGUUCGAAAAGCGAAGGAAGAUGUCCUGCUUACUCGUCAUUCACUGUGCUUUCUUAUUACUUCCGUUCUGGGAAUUGAGCUGAAAUACAGCCACUGUGCUGAAUUAUUAUUUUCACUUGAGCUUGAAUCACAAGCAUAAAAAGUAAAAUUUUGCCCUGUCCGUUGAACCUGAAUCCACUCCCCAUGGAGGACUUAAUGGCCUGUCAACCAGAUUUUGACCUGCCAUGGUGCCACUAAACUCCUGUGAAAAGGACUGGAAAAAUCCCAGAAAUUGUCAGCUGCCUAAAAUGUUGCUUUGGUGCCAAAUUUCCAUCCUUCAUCAGGACUCGUACUUUUUAAAAAAACAACAACCUGGAGAGCCUUAUUCUGACAACUGAAAAUCUGCAGUAUUUUAUGCCCACUUUUGCAACAGCAAAAUUCUGGGAUAAGGCAGACUUAAUGGUUCUUAUUGAUAUUACUUGCGUCUACCAUAAGAGAUCCUUGCCUUCAUAAGACUAUCAUCGAAUCAGGAGGGAACUCAAAGGUCAUCCAUCACAAGAUUAAGGAAGGCACAUGCAGCACCCAACCGUGGGACCAAAGCAUCUCUCUGCCACGGACAGAGCCAUGUUCAGAGGUCAACAAAUUGGGGGUUGCCUUAGUGACCAACAAAAGCCUGGAGCAACAGUGACCUGGAAGGGACAGAAACAAGCCCCCAUGCACUCACUGAAGCCAAAGAGGGGCGGCAGAGGUUUGCUCUAGCUCUCUGCUUGCGUCUUGCAGAGAUCCACAACCAACUUCCAGACUUCCACCCAAGUUUGGGGCUAGGACCAUCAGCUUGUCUCUCUCACCACAGCCCAGCUGAACUCCCACCAUGGUAGAGAAGCCAAGCUGGUCUGUCAAACCAUGGCCAGGUCUCUUGUCUUGGAGAGGGCACAUCCCCUUCCACUCUGUUGCCUCUCCUGAAGUCACUAUGAAAUAAAUAAAUAAACUAUCCUCCCCCUA